GUCAGCGGUUGUGAGAUACGGCUAAAUAGAAAUAAUUAAAGAUUUGCCUAGAAUAAUUAAAGAUUUAGCAGUAUGAAACACCAUUGGAUUAAUCAUUACAUACUGAUGCAGUUUAUGGUGGCAGCAGUAGCCCCCACUAGCUACUAUUCAAUAAAUGCACCCGGUAAUAUAAAAUCAAAUCGAAAAUAUUCGGUUGUUGUAACUCUCCAUGAAGCCAGUGAACCGUGUUCUAUACGUCUUGCCAUUAAGGGACCUAGUUUCAAUGAGAUUCGUGAUGUAAAUUUAAAACCAUUUGAAUCAAAACUGAUAGAUUUUUUGCCCAAAAAAUUACUCGGCGGAGAUUACGAAUUAAGUGCUGAAGGCUUAUCGGGUUUGAGUUUCAAAAAUACAAGUCGUAUAUAUGAAAAAACAGAUUAUGGUCCAAAAAUUUACAUACAAACCGAUAAGGCAAUCUAUAAACCUCAAGAUUUAGUUCAAUUUCGUGUUCUAAUAUUGGAUGAACAUACGAGGCCGCUAAACAUCGAAGAUCCUGUCCGUGUGGAGAUAUUGGACCAUGAAGGUAAUCGUGUAAAACAAUUCAAGGAUAUUACGCUUACCAAAGGUGUUUAUACUGAUAAAUUCAAACUAUCCAAAUAUCCUGUUUUUGGAUUUUGGAAAAUCAAAGUUGUUCUAGGUGGAACAUAUGACUAUUCCAGCUCAAAAACCAUUACAAUAAAUAAUUAUAUUCUGCCAA